UACGGGGGGAGCAAGCGUUGUUCGGAUUUACUGGGCGUAAAGGGCGCGUAGGCGGCGUGACAAGUCACUUGUGAAAUCUCCGGGCUUAACUCGGAACGGUCAAGUGAUACUGUCGUGCUAGAGUACAGAAGGGGCAACUGGAAUUCCGGGUGUAGCGGUGAAAUGCGCAGAUAUCAGGAGGAACACCGGUGGCGAAGGCGGGUCUCUGGGCCGAUACUGACGCUGAGGAGCGAAAGCGUGGGGAGCGAACAGG
rnacentral:rRNA from 1 species